rnacentral:rRNA from 1 species
UCGGGUGACUAGAGCGAGGUGGAACCACCCGUUCCCAUUCCGAACACGGAAGUGAAACGCCUCAGCGCCAACGAUACUGCCCUCGGGAGGGGGUGGGAAAAUCGGCCGUUGCCCGGG